AUGAAGUUGGUUCAAGAGAUUCGUUGGUUAUGGAGAGACUUUGUCUCACUUUUCCGUGAUGAGAGACGAAUGCAGGAGCAGAUGAACCAGGAGGCCAUGCUGCUGCAGCUUCAGACAGACAGGAUAAAGUCGGAGAAGAAGCUGGAGAAGCUCAAGAGGCAGAUGAAGAAGAUAGAGAAGGAGGAGAAGAAGCUUGAGACAAAGAGGAGGCAGAGAGAGAUGGAAAAGGAGAUAGAGCAGAGGAGAGAAAGAGAGUGGUGGAGAAGCCAGACGGUGCAUGAUUGCCAGCCGGAGAUCGUCUUUGAUAGGAAGAAGGAGCGAGGCCUCAGGAAGAGUGAAUUCAGUGUGGAGCGACAGAGCUCACUCCUCCUUCAGCAGAUCCAGAGCCAGAAGGAGAAGGAGCGUCUGGAGUGGAGAGCGAAGGAGCACAUGCUGAAGAAGCAGCUCGAGAAACUAAAGGAGCAAGUGAGGCAGUUAGAGCAGUUCAAGGAAGAAAGAAGAUGCAGGAGCUUCAGGGCGAGGCAGUCGCCACCUCCAACCUCAGGGUUCGAGGAGGAGCUCAGGAGGCAGCUGGAGAACCUUCAGACUAGACUGGAGGCCCAGCAGGAGCUUGAGAGAAAGAAGGAGAAGGAGCGAGAAGAAGAUAGAAGGAGAGAAGAAAAGAAAACGAGGAUGAAGCAGAGCCUUGAGGAGCUGGACCAGAAGCGCCAGGAGAUGGAGGCUCAGAUAGAGGUUGAGAAGAGGGCAAUGAUAGAGAGAGAGAUGGGUAUUCAGGAAGAGACUGAGAGAGAGAGACAGGUGGGGAAGGAAAGAGAACAGGAGGAGAGACAGCUCCAGAGAGCUCUGGAGGAGAAAAUAGAAAGAGAACUGAAGGAGAAAGAAGAGGAGUUGGUUAGAGAGAAGAAAAUAAUGGAAGAGAAGGAGAGAGAGAUGAAAAGGAGACUGGAAGAGCUUAGGAAAAAGAUGGAGGAAGAUCACGAGAAGAGAAAAAGACAGAUGAAGAGGCAGUACGAGGAGAGAGAGAAAGAAAUGGAGAGGAAGAUAAAGGAAGAAGAAGAGAAACAGAGAGAAGAUAUGAGAAAAAUGCAGGAGGAAGAGGAGCUUAUUCUGUGGCGCCAGAAGAGCGAAAGAAUGAGAGAGGAGGAAGUUAGAGCUGAGAAACAGAGAGCACUCGAGGAGAAAGAGGAGGAGAUGGUGAGGGAGAGAGAAAGGAUGGAAGAAAAGGAGAGAGAGAUGAAAAGGAAGCUAGAGGAGCAAAAGAAAAUGAUGGAGAAGGAGCAGGAAGAGAGCAUGAGAGCGUUUGAGAGACGACAGGAGAGGAGGAAGAAGAAGAUGGAAAAAAGGAUGGAGGCGAUUCAGCAAGAGAUGGAGAGAAAGAGAGAGCAUGAAAAGGAGGAAGAGGAGAUAAGAAGGGAGACUGAGAGAGUGCAGGAGGAGAGAGCUCUAGAAGAGAUAGAGAAAGAGAAGGAGAAAGAGAUUAGAAGAAGGGAGAAAAAGAGAAUGCAGGACGAAGAGGAGGAGAGAAAAAGGGAGAUUGAGAGAGUGCUAGAAGAGAGAAGGCAAAAGAAGGAAAAAAAGAUGAGAAGAAGGGAGAUAGAGAGAGUGCAGGAGGAAGAGGAGGAGAGCAAAAGGGAGAUUGAGAGAGUGCAUGAGGAGAGAGUGCUAGAAGAGAGAAGGCAAAAGAAGGCGAAAAAGAUGAGAAGAAGGGAGAUAGAGAGAGUGCAGGAGGAAGAGGAGAGAAAAAGGGAGAUUGAGGGAGUGCAUGAGGAGAGAAGGCAAAAGAAGGAGAAAAAGAUGAGAAGAAGGGAGAUAGAGAGAGUGCAGGAGGAAGAGGAGGAGAGAAUAAGGGAGAUUGAGAGAGUGCAUGAGGAGAGAGUGCUAGAAGAGAGAAGGCAAAAGAAGGUGAAAAAGAUGAGAAGAAGGGAGAUAGAGAGAGUGCAGGAGGAGGAGAGAAAACAGGAGUUAGAGAGGGAGCAAGAGAAGGAGAAAGAGAUGAGAAGAAGGGAGACAGAAAGAGUGCAGGAGGAGAGAGCUCUAGAGGAAAGACAGCGAGAGAAGGAGAAAGAGAUGAGAAGAAGGGAGAUAGAAAGAGUGCAGGAGAAGAGAGCUCUAAAAGAGAGGCUGCAGCAGGAGGAGGAGAGAAAACAGGAGUUAGAGAGAGAGCAGGAGGAGAGACAGCGAGAGAAGGAGAAAGAGAUAGAGUUAGAGCAGGAGGAGAAAUGGAGAGAAAUGGAGUCUAUAGAUAAAAGAGAUGAAGAGGAAGAGGCUGAGCAGAAAGGCAGGAAGUCUGAGCUGGAUGUGCAGGAAGUCCAGAAGAUUCAGGAGGCCAGAAGAGAACAUAUGGCCCGGGAGAUGCAGAGAAAGAGGGAACUGAUGAAGAAGAGGUUCUCUUCAGAAGAACGCAUCUUUAGAACAACUGAAAACGGGAGCAGACACUGCGGCAUUGUGGGUAAAAGGAGAAGCUGUGGUUUGACUCAGGAGAAGAAAGAGCAAGAGAGCCCUGAGCAAGAGGAAGAGAAGGAGGAGCCGAUCUCCAUACCCCGGUUCAUCAUAGUCAAAUCCCUGAACCCCAUUCCUGAGCCUGAGGAAGUUCCUGAGGUGGCUCAGGAGAAGAGCUCCACUGGCUGUGAGGAAGUCAGCCCUCUGAAAGAGCCAUCAGAGACCUUGGAGGCUCCAGAGGAGAUCACGGACAGUGGGGUAGACUAG
ensembl:lncRNA